GUGCAUGGUUGUCGUCAGCUCGUGUCGUGAGAUGUUGGGUUAAGUCCCGCAACGAGCGCAACCCUUAAGCUUAGUUGCCAGCAUUAAGUUGGGCACUCUAAGUUGACUGCCGGUGACAAACCGGAGGAAGGUGGGGAUGACGUCAAAUCAUCAUGCCCCUUAUGAUUUGGGCUACACACGUGCUACAAUGGACAAUACAAAGGGCAGCUAAACCGCGAGGUCAUGCAAAUCCCAUAAAGUUGUUCUCAGUUCGGAUUGUAGUCUGCAACUCGACUACAUGAAGCUGGAAUCGCUAGUAAUCGUAGAUCAGCAUGCUACGGUGAAUACGUUCCCGGGUCUUGUACACACCGCCCGUCACACCACGAGAGUCUGUAACACCCGAAGCCGGUGGAGUAACCAUUUAUGGAGCUAGCCGUCGAAGGUGGGACAAAUGAUUGGGGUGAAGUCGUAACAAGGUAGCCGUAUCGGAAGGUGCGGCUGGAUCACCUC
rnacentral:rRNA from 1 species